CACAGGCUGUAAUUCCACUGAG
rnacentral:miRNA from 1 species